rnacentral:ncRNA from 1 species
CGGGUAGUGGGAGGCGUUGAACUCCAACCGGUAGUUCGGUCACCGGGUGGUUGGAGUGAGCCAAUGGUGAGACCGGCCCCCUGCCGU